rnacentral:rRNA from 1 species
AGCGAACGCUGGCGGCAUGCUUAACACAUGCAAGUCGAACGGGAAUCAGUAGACAGCAGGCUCGGCUGAAGAUCGCUUAUGAGAGUGGCGAGCGGUUGAGUAACGCCUGAGCAAACUGGGUAUGACAGUGGGAUAGCCUUGCGAAACCAGGACUAAUACCGCAUAAAAUCGUACAAACACCCGUUUUAACGGUCACAGGUGUAUCGGUCAUGGAGGGGUUCGCGUCUGAUUAGGUAGUAGGUGAGAUAACAGCCCACCACGGCGGCGAUCAGUAGCCGGUCUGAGAGGAAGAACAGCCACACUGGAACGGAGACACGGUCCAGACUCCUACGGGAGGCAGCAGUGGGGAAUAUUGCACAAUGGGGGAAACCCUGAUGCAGCGACGCCGCGUGAGCGAAGAAGGUAUUCGAAUCGUAAAGUUCUUUCAUAUGGGAAGAUAAUGACGGUACCAGAAGAAGAAGCCCCGGCUAACUUCGUG